CAAAUUCGUAGUAAUUCGGAAGCUGCAUCUUCGGUCCAUACGACGUACCAGCGCAGUUUAUUAUGAGUACCUAUUCAACAAAUCUACCAAAUUAAAACAGAUUGUCCUAAGUCGUACAGAAAUCCAAUGACAAGAUCUUUGGGACACCGGUGAAGAUAGUAACCAUGUGUGUAAAGCCAGAUAAACUUGAUAAAAAUGUAGAUGUUAUAAAAUGAGUACCUAUAGAUAUAUAGCGAAUUCAUGAUGAAAUUAAACUUUGCUUGAAUCUUGACUAUGUUCAUCAAAUUGAAUGUGACUGCUACACAUAAUGAAAACUUCCAAGUGAAGUAGGUUGUAAAAUUUAAGGAGAAAUAAAAGAAAGUUAUUAAUCAA